AUGACUGCAACUGGAGGCUACGGGGAAGAGUCCAUUUCUCAAUAUCCGCCUGAACUCACUGUUGUUGAAGGACAGGCCGUAAUACUUAAUUGCAAUUACCCCAAAUCUUACGAUAAUCAGGCCGCUUUCUGGUACAUUCAGAACGGUGGACAAACGCCGAAAUAUCUACUGAAAAAAUUUAAUGCCGACUUCGGAGAUCAGGCUCGUGAUUUGCCAGAGAGGAUUUCUGCUGCUUACCACAAAGGGAAUCGCUCGAUACCUUUAAGUAUCUCCGGCGUCCUUGUCUCCGAUUCCGCCGUGUAUCUCUGCGCCAUGAGGCCCACGCUGCGGCAUAGAAGCGGCUGA